ensembl:lncRNA
AUGAGUGGACGGGACUCAGCCUCGCUGUCCCGAGGCCUCAGACCCCAGACGCCUCGAGGUUCUGUCUUGCGUCCUCCCAUCUCCCCGCCGCCCCGCUCCCCCUGCAUUUCCCACACUAACCCACAGGCCCAGCCCUGCAUCCUGCCCAAGAGCGGCUCCACCCCUACCCCCACCCCCCCUUUCCCUCACAAACACAAACACCCUGCAUCCCCACCCUGGGGUGGCUCCCCCUCCCCCGUCUCCCCACCCCGCUCUUCAGUCGCUGCUCUCUGGGGCCAGCAGAAACCUCUGCGGAGCUCUGGCUGUAGGAUCUCAAGCUGCUGGAUAUCCCAAUGCGGUUUUGCUCAAAUAUGGGUCGAGAUGCACCAGCGUGUGGACACCUUCCUGCAAAAUCUCUUUGAGGACAACAUGCAGGUGGCUGGGCAUCACCCACUCCUGUCCCCUCCUGGCUGGGGCAAGGACGGACUCAGUGAGGAGCUGCUUGGAGCUUUCGAUACUCAGCUGGAGAACGACGACGACUCGCAGGUGGAGUUAGCCCUGAUGAAGCUGGAGGACGGACUCAGUGAGGACCUGCUUGGAGCUUUCGAUGCUCAGCUGGAGAACGACGACUCGAAUCCAGUCCUCUGCUCAACGAAGUCCGGCAGGGAGUCCGUUCUAGAGUCCGAAGGCCUCCUGGCCACAACCAGCCACAUUAUGCGCUAGCGGUCCGGGAGCCCAGGCAGAGCACUUUCAGACGCAUCCUUGAGCUGUUUGAGGAAAUGCUGAAGCGCCUGCAGCAGAGGUGGAGGGGUGCCCUGGCUUGGGUGCAGGAAAGGGCUGCUGCCUGCUUCCGGGGCUUGUGCAGGGCCCUUGAAGCUUUCUGGAGCCUGGUGCAGAGUUUUUGCUCCUCCAUGGGGCACGCCUUCGGGAGUGUCAUCCAGGUCUAAGGUGCUCCAGGUGAAAUAAGAGUUUCUAGAGCACAACCUCCCCCUGCCUUGGCUAAAAAGGCAGCUGUAAGCCUUUCCAGCUGUGCUCACCUCAUACCACCCUUCUUGUAAUAAUGUAGCAGCUGGGGAGUUCCCGUCGUGGCGCAGUGGUUAACGAAUCCGACUAGGAACCGUGAGGUUGCAGGUUCGGUCCCUGCCCUUGCUCAGUGGGUUAACGAUCCGGCGUUGCUGUGAGCUGUGGUGUAAGUUGCAGACGUGGCUCGGAUCCCGCGUUGCUGUGUCUCUGGAGUAGGCCGGUGGCUACAGCUCCGAUUCAACCCCUAGCCUGGGAACCUCCACAUGCCGCGGGAGAGGCCCAAGAAAUAGCAACAACAACAACAAAGACAAAAGACAAAAAAAAAAAAAAAAAAAAGUAGCAGCUGGGUGCCCUCUGCCCAAGCCAGCAGCCCUGCUAAUGGUGUACCCAGCAUUUCUUAUCCGUUCCGCUUCUGUCACCUCACUUGCUCAGACAGGGAGGAAUACUGUGCUGGGGGAAGGGGGAAGGUCCGGGAUGCUUACCUGGAAAGAUAAGACCUUGACAUGUGUAAAAGCUGCCGAGAACAAAGACCUGGUACUCAGACUCUGGAGGUGGCUCCUCCGAGCCUGCACCGGUGCUGAAUAAAGCUUGCCUUUCCAUAUCUCCGAGUGCCGUU